rnacentral:lncRNA from 1 species
CAUUUAGGCCUCAGCAAAUGGUACUUUCUUCCUGAAAAGUCGAACAGGGUGCGCUUAAUUUCACACGCCCCACGUGUGCCUGACCCGGUGAGCGGGCCCAGGACGCCCCCUCCGGCCCUUAGAGGAGAGAGACGCCGCGUGCAGCUGGGCACGGGCCGGGCGGGCCGGGCUGGGAACCCGACGCGGCCACGAGGGGGCAGCGCGCUGCAGGGAAUCUCGGGGCCGACCCCAGCCCGCGGCCAAACUUCCCUGCUGCUCCCGGUCCUCCGUACGUACUUCCGUUGCUCUGACGCUCGCAGAAGCCGGGGCGUCGGGAAGGGAGCGCGGGUUCCCCCUGCCUCUGCGCCUGCCGAGGAGACUCGAGAGCGGGGUUCGCGGACUGCGCCGCAGCCGGUGCCCGGCGCGGGGGCCGCGGGGGCGCGGGGCCGCGGGCGUGCGGGUCCUCGGCCGGCGGCUCCGGGGAGGGCGGGCCGCCGCCGCCAGGGGUCCGAGCCGCCCGGGGCGGGGGCCCCCGCACCGGCCCCCGCACCCGCACCCGCACCCGCACCCACACCGCCGCUGCAGGCCGGCCCCUUCUGCGCCCCCCGCAAGGGGCCGGGCCGCGAGCGCUCCGGGGAGUCGUCGGGGAGAUGCCCGGGUGUUGGCCGUGUGCCCACGCUGCGUGCCGGCGCCCGCGACCGAGGCGGUCGGGGUAACGCCGCCCAAACUUUCCUUGGCGGCCGCCUGGGAGGAGGCAUCCCUGUCCGGGGUUCGCGGAGAGCCUGCUCGGGAGGGCGCGCGCCGAGGGCCCGGAGCCCCGGAGCCGCCCCGGGGGCCGCGACUAGUCGCCGGCGGGCGCCCGGCCGAGGGGCGGUCCGGUGGGCGCAGCGUCUCCUCGGCGGCUCGUCCGUCUCCCUCGCCGUGACCUCCGCGCGCUCCCUGCGCACGUGCUCGCGGCCGAGGAGGAGGAGGAGGAAGGUCCGGCCGAGCCCGCCGGGGGCAGGGGCUCGCGGACAGGCCCCGGGCGCAUGGAGGCGCCGCGGGGGAGCGCGCACGCCGAGCCCCGCUCUCCCAGGGGACCCGGCCGGCAGCCGCCGGCGCUUCCCGCCGCGGGGCUCCGCUUUCGGCGCCGCGCCCGCUGACGCCUGCCGGGCGGUGCCCCGGACCCCGCGGGGCUGGGCGGACACCGGGCCGGGCAGGUGUGGCCCCGCCGACGCGGGCGCCGCGCGCAGAUCGACUGCGGGGCUCCGCCCGGAGGGACUUGGCCCGCGCGGCGCGAACUCCGGGCCCCGCACGCAGCGGGGCGGCGCCCCCCCCGCAGCGGCCCGGCCGAGCCUCGGGCGCCCCUCGGCUGGAGGCGGCCCCGGCAGAGCGCGGCUCCCGGCGGCCGCUCGGGCGCGACCCUGA